GAUGAAGGCACCCAAUUGGAUGUUCAUAAGUUCUUUCAUCAUGAUGUUUUUCAUAUUUGAUUGCUCAUUGGAAUUACCUGCAAGACUUUACACUCCUAAUGGGCAGGUAAGAGUCUAGAAUAAUUAAUCAUCAUCUUAAUGAAAAUCAGGGGUGGAAACCAAGCCUUAGUGGUUUGUAAAAAUCCCAGAUGAUUCCACUGUCUAGCGAUGGUAGAGAGCCAGUGCUUUAGAAGAAGCUAAGAAUCUACUUUGGAAAAAAACGCAGAAGAAAACAAGAAAAGAAAAUCUUUAGCUGUUGCUAGGCCCCUUGCCAAGCUCUUCUUGUAAAGUUAAUCUGUCUAUGCGAUUCUGCGCAGCGUGGAAAAGCGAGUCUCCAACUUGCCUGUGGAUUUAUUGACCACCGGGUCCCUUCUCAGCUUUCACCUUCCAGGCCUCGCCCACUCUAUUUGGGGGGUAGGAGCUGGGAACACCUGUUCCCUCCUCUCCAAGCAUGGGCUGGGCCAUUUGACGGCUUCCCCUUUCCACCAAGGCAGGUGUUGGUGUUUCAGUAUUUUCCAGCGCACCAUCCCUCCCCGCCCCCGACGCAUCCCUGUUUCCGUGGCUGAGGGCCUGGGGAGGAGAGCAAUCCGCCCUCACACACACCAGAUCCCCAGCUCGCUACCUGCUUUGGAGGGCAUCAGGCGGACUGCGCGGACCCACCUGCCUCCAAAGUUUGGGGCGUGGGGGAGCCGGGGCACGUGGCGUGUGGCUAUGGCUCAGCCUGGGGGUCCGGAGCAGCCCCGGGAACCUGCCGCCGGAGACGGAUUCACCGACGUCAUCAGGAGCCGCGCUGCACUCAAAUGCUCUGUGACUGGUGGUGACUUUUCUGCGGGAGUGACCAGCUCUGCCUGCCUGCCUCUUGGUUCAAGCGCUACUGGGCCACACUGCUUCUAGGAGUUCUUGCCAGUCCUCUGGUCAGAUGAAAUGAGAAGACACUUUCCACAGCAGGUGGGGCUAUGAUUCAGAUCUUUCUGUGGGAAAAUCAGACUUUAAGUCUGGCAGAGCUCCUUAUUUGAAGAUCUUGAUUAGGUUAAUCUGCACCCUGUGAACAGAGACGGCAAUGGCACCCCACUCCAGUACCCUUGCUUGGAAAAUCCCAUGGAUGGAGGAGUCUGGUGGGCUGCCAUCCAUGGGGUGGCAUAGAGUUGGACACGACUGAAUCGACUUAGCAGCAGCAGCAGCAGCACCCUGUGAAGGCCCUGGUCAGAAUAUGCCACUGACUUGAUUCUGCAGAUGAACAAAGCCGUUGGUUGGGUUUACUGCCUGGGAAUUACACAUAGGAACUUGAGAUCCCUGUUCUGGUUGUUGCAAGCCCCUCCCCUCUUUUCCAUCACAGAUUCCCAGUGUUCCAGUCCUGCCAAUUCCCCUGCACUUCUCAAGGUACAAGAUCAUAGUUGAGCUCUUCUGCAAAGUGACCCACAAUGCUGGGGGAAGCUGAUUGUCUCCCCUUGGUUUCCCUUUCCCACUUGAGGAACCAGAAGCUCAGGGGAGACCUCUCCAUGUGGUGCUGCACUGGCCUGGGGGAGGGGCAAUGCAGUCACCAGUAACUGCUUCACUUACUAUCUAAUGCAGUUUGUUUGGGUGUCUGAGGUACAGCCUCACCUCUCCCACCCACCCCACUCUCAGAUCUUGUGAGGGGAACCAAAAUCAGGAACCACUUAUAUUGCCAUCUUUGUGACAUCACUAUUUCAGGUAGCCCUUUACAUAUACUUUGUCCCUCUUGCAUAUCAAACAGACCCACGAUUUGAUACACCACUUGAUAACCUUCAUUCCUUUCUUACAAAUAACUUUCACAUUGUCCUCAUAAUAAUUGGUUAGGUAUUUUUCACAGCACUUUACCAAUAUUAUCUUAUGUAAUGCUCAUAAAUUAUAUGAUGAAAAUAACAUUUAUUAUGAAUUUGCAAGUAAAUAAUUGGGACACAGAGCAAACGAAUCAUUUACCUAUGGUCUCACAGCUAUAAGUCAGAGAGCCAGGAUUCAGAACAUGCUCAGUAAAAGCCUGUGCUCUUAACUAAAGAAUAUUUUUCUCUCUCCCUCUUCAAGCAGAUUAGUUGACAGGUGAGCAUGUUUCAGCUGAACCAUUGAUGGGCAAGAAAUCUAAUCCCAGAGAUGUGAGUUAAAGAAUAAGUCAUUAAGACUUUUGGAGUAAAUAACUCAAGGUUCUUAUAGUUCAUCAGAGGAUAAAAGGAACUUUCUCAUGACAAAGACUACAAGUUUCUGUGGUUUGAGCUACUCCACUGUUUCUGCUGAUGCUUCUCUCCUUCCAAGCUUCCAUGUUAUAUGAUUUGUGAGUGGCUAAAUUGUCGUGCCUUCCCUGGUGGCUCAGUGGUAAAGAAUCCACCCGCCAAAGCAGGAGACAUAGGUUUGAUCCCUGGGUCAGGAUGAUUCCCGGGAGAAGUAGAGGGCAACCCACUCCAGUAUUCUUGCCUGGAGAAUUCCAUGGGCAGAGGAGCCUGGCGGGCUACAGUCCAUGGGGUCACAAGGAGUCGAACACAACUUAGCGACUAAACACCACACCAAAUAUUGUGGUGGGAAGAAGUAGAAACUAGAAUGGAAAUUUGAAAUGGUCCAAGGAAGAGAAUAUUUUGUUGUAGUUGUGUAUUUAAUUGUUUUGAACUACGCAAAUUUUAGAAAGUUCUUUCUGCUGUGUUUUUGUAGCUCUUUUUUGUGCCUGAUUGAUGAGAGGCCUACAAAAAUAUCCAAUUCUGGCCAGCUAAAUCUGUGUCUUGUUUGAAUUUUUUUUUUUUAGAUCAUCAAAUGGCACUGACUUUUGAAAAGUACUGCUAGAUUAAGUGAAAAAUAUUAGCCUCUUUAAAUCAAAUUCUGGAAUAUGUGGAUGAUCAUUAAUUAUUGCUCAGAACCAGAUAGUUUCUGAUAAAAUUUAGAAGAGAUUCAUAAUAAAACUAGGGGUGAGGUGCUUGCA
ensembl:lncRNA